rnacentral:rRNA from 1 species
GGCGCAAGCCUGAUCCAGCAAUGCCGCGUGCAGGAAGAAGGCCUUCGGGUUGUAAACUGCUUUUGUACGGAACGAAACGGUCUGGGUUAAUACCCUGGGCUAAUGACGGUACCGUAAGAAUAAGCACCGGCUAACUACGUGCCAGCAGCCGCGGUAAUACGUAGGGUGCAAGCGUUAAUCGGAAUUACUGGGCGUAAAGCGUGCGCAGGCGGUUUUGUAAGACAGGCGUGAAAUCCCCGGGCUCAACCUGGGAAUGGCGCUUGUGACUGCAAAGCUGGAGUGCGGCAGAGGGGGAUGGAAUUCCGCGUGUAGCAGUGAAAUGCGUAGAUAUGCGGAGGAACACCGAUGGCGAAGGCAAUCCCCUGGGCCUGCACUGACGCUCAUGCACGAAAGCGUGGGGAGCAAACAGGAUUAGAUACCCUGGUAGUCCACGCCCUAAACGAUGUCAACUGGUUGUUGGGUAUUUACUUACUCAGUAACGAAGCUAACGCGUGAAGUUGACCGCCUGGGGAGUACGGCCGCAAGGUUGAAACUCAAAGA